CAGAGAAAAGCAGACACCUGCCCCGGAAGGGGGAGGGGGCGAGCUUUUCAGCAUCCGGACGCGGCCCUUCCCGGCGGCUGGAUCCAUCCAUCUGUGGGAGCUCCGAGUUGUCCCAGCCGAGCGGUUGGGGAGGAGGACAGCCGGCGGCCGGGGGGCACGUGGAAAUUCUCCGCCAAAGCGCCUUGCCCGGGCGAGUGCUCAACUCGGUGAUUUAUAAACAGCUCAGCCACUCCCCAAAGACCUCCGCUCCUCGUUAGUCAUGAUGAAUUCUCCGGCCCGUUCCACUUUGCUGUCUAGAUUAAGAUGCUCGGAGGCCCCAAAGUGCUCCCCUUGAGCGUUGAUUUGGCUUCCCUCACAAACUCACGAUCGCCGGCAACGCCAGCACUAAAGUAUUCGCGCGGUACACUCGAGCGUGCGUGGUUGCUCCGCUGCUACAGCACCGGCCUGCGCCGGAUCCUCCUACCCUUGCUAGCAGGCUCCGAAAGCGGCGGCAGGCACCUGCUCCGGGUGGCUGCGGCGCUGACGGCGCGACGCGCUCGUGCUGGGUAGAACCGUACUGCCGGUGCAGGGUCCCGCAGUCUCGCUCCGGAGUUCUCUGC
ensembl:lncRNA